UACAGAGGGUGCGAGCGUUAAUCGGAAUUACUGGGCGUAAAGCGCACGUAGGCGGCUUGGUAUGUCGGGUGUGAAAUCCCCGGGCUCAAUCUGGGAACUGCAUCCGAAACUGCCCUGCUCGAGUAUGGGAGAGGGAAGUGGAAUUUCCGGUGUAGCGGUGAAAUGCGUAGAUAUCGGAAGGAACAUCAGUGGCGAAGGCGACUUCCUGGACCAAUACUGACGCUCAGGUGCGAAAGCGUGGGGAGCAAACAGG
rnacentral:rRNA from 1 species